AUGCGAAAUUCGAAAGACUUUUAAUUUUACAUCACAAAAACACACAUUCACAAUGGAGCGCCAACAGGAGCAAAAUGGCAUUUACUAACACUGUCAAACAGAAUGCACUACAGUCGCUAGGGCUGCAUGACAAACUGUUUAAUUUCGUUUAAUUGCCCGCCCAAUUCAAAUCGAACGUGCUGUUAGCUAUUUGCUUGCCACUAACUGGCGGCUUGAUGCCCAUCAGAUGGCACAGUUUAUUGCGCACCGGACGAAUUUCGACCAGUGGCAAUGUCCAGUCAGUUUCGGACAGCAGGGCCAGGAUGUCAUCUAUAUUCUCCUCGGGUAUAUCGGUGACAUCGCCGUGCAAUGCUAGAGCUUCAUACAAUUUAGUGGCAGCCGUCUUACGCACAUGGACAUGCUGCAAUCCCAGGAAUACGGACAAUUUUGAGAGGAUGCGUUUGCUGAGACGCGGCACCUGCACAAGCUGACAGAAGAUUGAGCAGACGAUAAACGUCCUCGGCAAAGGGAUUGUCCGCAUCGUGCAGCACUGCUUCAAUUGUGCCCGAGCCAAUGAGGAUCUCCAGGAAACUGAGCAUUGGAUACGUCACACGCUCGUUCAAAAGAUGAGUCUCAAAGUUCUGCACAAUCUCAGCACAGAGACGUGGCACCUCCUCCAGAUGGGUACGCAAAAAUUGGAAUAGUGCAGUUGAAGCAUGUUUGGUCUGAAAUCACAUAAAUUAAAUGAACAAAUCGA